CAGGUAAGAAAAACAUUUAUUGAGUAGAAGUUUAUUUGAAAGAGAAGCUGGUAUGAAGAUUUUAACGUAUCUGAUGUUUGGAACAAUGACAAGAAAAGAAAGAGAAAGAAAUAGAGUGGGCAGGGCUCUUUCUUACUGUUGUUUCCGACUUCACCCCGAUUUUGCUCAUCCCGCCUCCUGCUGGACUUUGAAACAACUUUCAUUUGUUUUUCUCCAUCUUAAUCCUUCUGACAUUUGAUUAAUGACUGCCCUUAUUUGUUUCGCUUGCAAGAAAAUGGACAACCAUGGAUGCAGAUUGCAGCUUACUAAUCUUGAUAUUAGAAAUACGUUCACUCUUGUAGAUAAAUUCCUAUAAAAACUUACUCUGUGUAGUUUAUUUUUAUUUUGAAAAUGAUGUAUGUGCUUUUGAAUUUACAGUCAGCAAGAUAAAAACAAACAUAACAUUUGAUUUAAAGAUCCAAUUUAAAUAUUUAUUAAAAGCAAAAACAACUUUUUUGUUGUUUUCAGAGAAAUAAAAUUCUUAAACCAAAUUCUGAAUUGAAGGAGAUAUGAAAAUUAUUUUUUUUCGAAGAGUAAAACUACUUAUUGUCAUUCUCUAUCGAUUAAUUACAGUUUGUUUGUACAUGUUUUAUGUUAAAUGUUAUGUUACAAGUUACAUGUUUUUCAUAUCUGAAGUAAUUCGACAAACCAUUUGUACUGUAGAAAAAAAUAAUAAACCAAAGUUUACUUUGAAACAAUAUGUUUAAAAAUUCAAUCAUAUUAUGUUUGAAUAUCAAUAUAUCCAGAAUAUUUAGAAAAAUAUUAAACUGAUUUAUAUAAUACUUUGAAUUUACAUUUGUAAACUAUGUACACAAUAAAAUGUACAUAAUUUGUA